CCUACGGGAGGCAGCAGUGGGGGAUAUUGCACAAUGGGGGAAACCCUGAUGCAGCGACGCCGCGUGAGUGAAGAAGUAUCUCGGUAUGUAAAGCUCUAUCAGUAGGGAAGUAAAUGACAGUACCUGACCAAGAAGCUCUGGCUAACUACGUGCCAGCAGCGGCGGUAAUACGGAGGGGGCAAGCGUUAUCCGGAUUUACUGGGUGUAAAGGGAGCGUAGUCGGUUAGGUAAGUCUGUGGUGAAAGCCCGGGGCCCAACCCCGAGACUGCCUUGGAAACUGUGUGACUGGAGUACAGGAGGGGCAGGCGGAAUUCGUGGUGUAGCGGUGAAAUGCGUAGAUAUCAGGAAGAACACCGACGGCGAAGGCAGCCUGCUGGACUGAAACUGACGUUGAGGCUCGAAAGCGUGGGGAGCAAACAGGAUUAGAUACCCGAGUAGUC
rnacentral:rRNA from 1 species